GCUUUCCAGGGGCUGUUAAUAUGUGGAGUGGAGAAGCAGUCUAGGAAUGAACUUCUCACCAGAGAAGAGAGAACAAAGGUGUAUAACUGUUCAUCAACACCAGAGCUGGAAGUUUUUGAAUGCAGAGCCGAGGUACACUGAGACAUCCAAGACUGCUGCCGGUUCUAGAAAAGCCGAAUAUAAGGAACAGGAGUCAGGGGCUUCUUUUACAGAUGAGUCAUAUAAAACCAUAUGGGAAGGACCCGAGGAAGAUUUACGCAUUGUUAAAUUUAAACUCAUCUGAGUUAUUGGAAUUUAAUUUUAGAACCAUAUACUUGGAUUAUGAUAUUUUUGCCUAAUGUGACAAUACUAAGUGAUAGGACUCAAACAAAAGAUUCCUAACAACAUUAAUAUGCUACUGUACCAUUCAAAAAC
rnacentral:lncRNA from 1 species